AUGGGAGAAGGGUCUGAACCAGAGCCAUGGUGAUGAGGUCACGGUUGUAGGGUUAGGCGCGUGCGCAAAGUUUAGCGUCAGUGAGGGCCUUAGAGAGGAUGAGCGCAGGCGCGGGAUUGUCCCGCUUGCUGCGUCUUCUUCCGCCGCGCCCUGGACUCGUGCGCCUCACAGGUUCCUUGCCUGGGUGGCCUUGAGUGCUGCUGCGGCCGGGCCUGGCAGAGCUGCGGCGGGGUGACAGUCCCUGAGCGGGCCCGCAGGAAGUGUCUUCUCGUGAAUUGGAGGACUCCUGCCCAGCUCAAGGGCUCUGCAAUGAGAGCCGUCUCUGCUACUCCAUCACGGACCUUAAGAGCCUGCACUGUAAAAAAAUAAAAACUGUAGGCUUGGUGCAUUAAGUUUUCUCUACAGACAGCGACAAGCCUGAUGCAUAAAAUAGUCUACAUAAACUACAAAGAGCCCAGUAUGCUUGAAAACUUUAUGUGCUGACAUGUCUUUUUAUGACAUCUUUAUUUUAGUUUUCAGGGCUCCUUUUAUUUAAAAAAAAGUAGACACCACAAAGCUUUGUUAACUUACAGGUAAGAUUGCUACAAUGAAUAAUGAUGUUUAUCCAAAUUAUGAAACAAAAAUAUUGUAAUUUAAACUUUGAACAUUUAAGAAGGAUGCAGGUUAUUUAUCUUUAAUGUGAACUGAGGAGCCAUAAAAUAUAUUGUUAAAAUCUUUAUAUAGGCAUUGGUAUAAAAUAACUAAAAAUAUUCAGUGAUGCUCGCUCCUUCAUUAUAGGUAGGUAUUCCAUUUUUACACAAUAGAAAUGAGAAUAUAAAGGAUGAAAAUGACUAGUUAGGGUAAAUUGUAUAAAUAUUAAUCUUACAUUUCACACAUUUGAUUAGCUACAUUACUGAUGUGAAAAAAAUCAUUGUACCCAUUCCAAAAAUAAACUUAACUCUGACCACAAGACAUACUUUUAAACUUUCAGCAUAAACAGCACUUAAUUUUAUAGUUAAAGUUAUCCAUAUAUUAGUGUUAUGUAUUGCAGCUUGUUAUAAAAUUUAUUAAGCUUCACAUUUGAACAGAAAAUAUUAUGUAUGUGCAAUAUGACUGAGUUAACAUUGCUAUGGGAACCUUAACUUUUGCAUGUUGAAAAUUGUAUGUGAUAAGGUAAUGAACGACUGAGUAUUAGUUUAUAUCAUUAAGAUUGCAUGUUUGUCCCUGGCAGAUGCCAUAUUAAUAGUGUAUUAAUAAAGUUUCAAGCAUUUGUUUUCCUAGGGAGUUUUAUAAAAGUAUCUCUAAUGCUCAGCAUCUUUGGAGAUCAGGAACUCAGGAGCAGAGCUCCACAGGCCUGACACUCUAUUUCUGCAGAGCUAAGAAUCUCUGCAGACUGAUGCUUAGGUCCUGCAGAGCUCUUAAAUUCUGCAGAGCCAAAGCAUCUCUGUAGCGUAUAAGUGGGGUGUAAAUUAGAUCAAUCUAGUUACCAUGCUUGAAAUAAAGCAGAUCAGGCUUAUCACUUAGGCCUCAAACAUUUAGGGGGAAGGAAAUCUGGCCAGAGGUGACAGGAAUGUGUAAAAUGCAGCUACCUAAUGCCUGACUAUUACCUCUUAACCACUUUGAAUAAAAGCAUACUUAACUAGCUGUGCACAGUCUAUGUGCAGCAUAUGUAACAUUAAGUGCACCUGUGUAAAUGUAAAAAUUUCUGCCAUGAAAUAUAAAAUGUUUUAAUGCUGUUGUAUAAUUCCUGUAUUCAAGCCCUGAUUCAGAAAGAUACAUAGGCUCCUGCCAGUCUGCAAGGAGUAAUGCAUGUGCUUAACUUUAUGCACUGUGAGUAGACUGGAAUGGAACUUGCAGUAUGUAAAAUUAAGCACAUGCAUAAGUCUUGGCAGGACUGGGUCCUUCAUCAUGUACCUAACUUUGAGAUACUCCUGUGCUUAAGUAUCUUGCUGAAUUGGGCCACAUUGGGUACUGGUAUUUAAAUGCCUAAAUCCCAUUGAAAUCAAUGGGAGUUAGGCACCCAAACACCUUUAAGGAUUUGGGCCUGACACUUUUCAUUUUCAGCAGCUGCUGUCCUGGAUGCUGUCAACCAUUUCCCACCCCUGUCCCCCAAUAUAGGAAAUGUAAUUAGUCAUAUCCUGCUAUUAUAAUUAAAAUGUUAACUAGUAAUAUAUGGUCUUAUAUCAAAUCAUUCUACGUAAUGUAACAUCACACUGCCAGGCUUUUAUUGGUCAGGCAUUAUUUUUUCCAUCACUACAUUUUUCUUUUAUAAGUGAGUGAGUUAUCUUUAGGGGUGAGACUGAUGGAUUGUUGAGUCAACACUUCAUCUUGUAAGGAAAUACUUGUGUAAAAUUUAUGAAAAGUGCUUAUCUAUAAAUGUGAUGCCUGCUAGAUAAGUCAAAGAAUACAUAAUAAGAACUAACACAAUCAGUUGCAAAUGUGUGAGUUGAUUAGAAGGGAAAAAUGUGUUUUAAUUCAGCACUGCUAAAAGAUCAGAACUUUAAAACACAAAUCUAUAUUAAAAGCUUAUUUUGUGCUGAAGACUUUCACACUAAGUGCUUUCUUCCCUUUUUAAGCAAAUCUAAUGUUUUGCCUUAACUUUGCCCACAUAAAAUGUUUUAAUAGUCAUCUGCAGUGUUUUUUUGUGGCUGCUAUUACAAAUACUAAAAGAGAUUAUGCUUAGGUGACUGGGUUUUGAAGCUGGCACUAGUAACAACCAUGGUGCUGUCUAUGGAGACUGAGUAAACGAACAACUCCCAUGUGUGCUAAGUGCGCUGAAUCAUGGUGACUGGCUGCAACAGACAAACCGACUCCUUGGGGUUACAGACUCAUGCAUGAUGAAAUACAAUUACCCCCAUAUUAGCCUUUUCAUCUCUAGCUCCCUAAUGAGAACUAAGAGAAAAGACAGUGUUUUUUGUCAUUUAAUAGUGGUGAUAAAACAUACCAAAAAAAUGGUAUCUACACUGUCCAGAGCAGCAGACUGUUUUAGAUUACACUGUUUUCUUUGUUGUUCUGGAGAUGAUGGUUACUUAGUUUGUUUUUUGCCCCCUAGUGGCUGCCCGUGGAUCCACAAUUUCAAAUUCAAAUUUUAUUUUCACAGAAAACUUUUUAAAAUGUCCAAGAUUUGACUUUACAAGAAAAAAGUUAAAUACAGACAAGCUAAUGUGUUGAUCUCAUCACCAAAGCGACUUCAAACUUUAGGUAUAGUAACCUCAAAUUAGCUUAGGGAGAGAUUAGUUAAAGGUGAUCUGUAAAACUUUGUUUCUCUGAAGUGUAGAAAGAGGGCCUGCAUUUUUAAGACUUUUUUUUUCUUUCUUGUUCUUUACAUAGGAAUCUGAACUAUUGUCUUCCCUGUUUUUCCUGGAGAAUCUAUUGGAGGUCUCAUUGAAGGGGAAGUGGGUGAAGGGAGAUGAAUUUUAACAAAUACAUUCACUUUCCUAAAUGUUCAUUAGGCAUCGCAGUUAAAUAGUUGUUAACAAAAGGAAGAGUUUUGAAGUCUGACUAAAAUCCCUUUCCUCCUCCAUUGCUUUCAUUCUCUUGGCUCUUAUCAUGACAUCGCUUAACUAGCGUGCCAGGCUAAACAGGAACUGAAAUUCUAAUGGUAAAAAAUUAUCAGGAAAAACCCCUUUUAUAAUUAAACAACCAACCAACAAACAAAAAAAAGUUCAGACCUUCUUUAUACUGUACAUCAUAAAGAAGCACCAAAGUACACAGGCCCAAUUUGCUUUUUCCAAUGCAGGUCACCUUUAACCAAAAAAAAGAGCGCAAGGAUACCCCUCUGCAUGGAUCAGAGUGUUGGAUAGUGAUUUUCCAACCCUAACCUUCACUUUCUGUUUGGAGGUUUGGCAUGGGGGCGUUAAUCUCGUGGUAUAAGCAGCAGCAGAACUGAGAGCAGCAUCAAGAGCGGUCAGGCUCAGGCACUGUCCCAGCCUAUGAAAUGUCUACCUUAUAGAUUUUUGCAUUGGUGUACUACACCAGCGCAACCCUUUUGUAUAGAUUCACUGCACCAGUGGAAAAAGAGAGCUUGCAACAUUUGUGCAAAAAUCCGUGAAGUAGACAAGCCUUUGGACUUCCUACAAAUGUAAAAAGUGGUUUACAGUGUUUUCAUGCAAAUGUGUAGAAUCCGCCCUCUAUGAUGUUUGAUGUAUGAUGCCCUCAGCUCCGUUUGGCUGUCUGACAUUCUAUUACGUUUUUUGUUACAUAUUUUGUAGGGUGUAAAAUACUACUGAUAAUUUACUAUUCUACUUGAAGGUCAGAACUGUGUCCCAGAUAGUAUAGUGGAACUGCAGGAGGUGCUUCAAAGCACUGUGUUCUCUCUCCACUCAACUUACUCUUGUGUCUUUGUCCCAUUGAUUUGUUAUAAUUAGGUUUUUGAUUUUGUUAAAUGUAGGUAAAAAAAUGGGUGAAACGGUGCAGUAAAAAUGGGGGGGGGGGUAGGUUAAAAUAGUUUUAACUAUAGAGUUGUCCUUUGAGGGUUUUAUGUAAAAGGCUGUACUUUUAUGUGGGUUUUGAUAUUUCUCUGAUGAGCACAAUAUAAAAUCUAUUUCUAAGUCAUAUGAGAUGACAUACAUUGUCAGUUGCAUCUUCCAUGGAUGUUCCAUCAUUUUGCUUUGUACAAAGUCUGUGCUAAAAUUUAAACAAUAUUUACAUCAAGUGUCAGGAAUGGCCAUCUCAGCCUUAAUUAUGGCAUCUAACAUAUAUUAAAUAGUAUCUGCAGGUGCACAAGCUAAAAUGCCAAGGUAGUAGCAGUUUGAGAGCCAUAAUUUGAAGGUGGUUUAUUUAUAUCUUUUGUAUUCUGUGUGCUUUGCUACCAUAGCAGUCAGAACUAUGUUUUAAUAAAAUCAGAUAAAUAUAA